CUGCUUUGUGGUGGAGUGCUGCAUUGUUGGAGGGGCCUUUCAUUAGCUUGACUUGGUGUAUGGGAGAUGCACAGAAGAAUGGGAUGUUGAGCUCGGCUCCUUAUUCCUGCUUGGACAACGUGUACCUGAACAGACAAUCAGACCAGCUCUCCUGCCAAAGGAAUCUUUCCCACUCUGAUCUCUGCUGUAAAAGGAUUGAAGAAGCGCAAGCAAGCUGACAGAGUCUGAAGGAGCAAACUACACCAGGUUCAUGCAUAAUCUCUAUGAUCCAUCUUCGGAGGAACAACCGGUGCCGAUCUGAGAUCCUAAAUAAUAUAUGAAUGAUCAUUCUUGAUGAAAGGCUGCUGCUCAGCCGUGCUUCAUGUCUUCAUCCUUCCUUACGUACCCACAGUAUUAUCAGCUGCUGAGGACAACCGUGUUGUGGCUUCAUCUUCCUAUGGGAAGUCAUGCAGGCAAAGAGCAGGAUUACUCAUUCCGCUCUCACCUGCUGCAGCCCUCUUUGAGCACAAAGGAGACUGGGAAAUGGAAGAAAUCAAGGCCACAGAUUAGGUGGCUCUUGUCUGCCCAGCGCUCUGCCAGCUACAUGGCUGCGACAGGCUGCUUGUUGUGAAUUCAAAUAUCUUUAUAUCCAGCAUCUUGUUUACGCUGCCUGUGCAUUUGUAAGCAUGAAAAGUCUACUUUCUGCUUCCUGAUCUGCCUGCAGAAACAGCUUCCCAUUAUGACAGUAAUGCUGCCUGAAUAAAUAUUUCUAACCCAGGUAACAUGGAAUCCCUCUUAGGCAUCCUGGAGCAUCCAGCAGGGCACUCUCCUUCUCAACAAACUGAACAUUGCUUGCUUUUCCUCUCAUUCCCAAGUGCA